CUACAUCUUGAAAGAUUUUGACAUGGGAAGUUGGUACCAGCAACUGAAAAGCAGAACAAAAACACUUGGAUCGUAGGCUAACUCCUAAAAGAUUGAUCCCUGGUGCUGAUACAGGGUCUGCUAGCCUGAAUUUCUCCAACACUGAGUUUUCAACGUCCACCCUGCUCCCCUCCACCCGCCCCACAAAGUAUCAGACAGUGUUUUCCCAAUGGCAAGUUAGCUCAUGCAAAAGCAAAGAGAAUCCUGAUGCCAUCCUGCCUAUCCACACACUGACAGAAACCAUCCAAGAAGCCUUGGAAAAGUGUCAGAUUCCCGAUGAUGCUCAAGAUGCUUUUGGCCGAAGACCAUAAGUGCUGAGAACUUCCUUGCUUCCUCUCAACUCACUCUGGGAUCAUCUUUCAUAACUCUAAGCUUUUCUCCAUCAUAUGUUUCCAACCUACACUGCAACUCAAGGUAAUCUGCAUAUUUAUAAAUCAUUAAGUCAUCAACGAUUCCUUAUAUUUCACCUAAAACCACUACUGUGGCAAAUGCAAGAAGUCUUUUUUUAUUUUUUGAGAUGGAGUCAUGCCAAGUAGUCAUCAAUCUAUAAAGAAAUACUUAAAUGCAUUGUUGAGGAGGACUGCUAGUCAAAGGAGCCUCUCAGGAAGCUUAUGCAAUAGGAAAGAAUCACCCUGUCUUACUCUUUAAAAGACUUUCCUGCAAGAGAGGCACACCAGACUCAAAAUUUCAUGUACUGUGCAAAAACAUGCCCAGGCCUUUGGAGAACUGGUCUUUUAAACAAGAAUUGAGACCAGGUGCAAUGGUUCAUGCCUGAAUGCCCAGCACUUCGGGAGACCAAGGUGGGAGGAUCGCUUGAGGUCAGGAGUUCAAAACCAGCCUGGGAAACAUAGUGAGACUCUGUCUCUACAAAAAAUUAAAAAAACAAAACAAAACAAAAAAAAUCAAAAAUAAAUGAAUAGAUAAAAUAAACAUGAAAAAAAAGCUCAGCUAGAAUUACAGUAUUUUAACUGUAAGGUGAA
rnacentral:lncRNA from 1 species